AGCGAACGCUGGCGGAAGGACGAACACAUGCAAGUCGAACGAACCUUUCGGGGUUAGUGGCGGACGGGUGAGUAACACGUGGGAACGUGCCUUUAGGUUCGGAAUAACUCAGGGAAACUUGUGCUAAUACCGAAUGUGCCCUUCGGGGGAAAGAUUUAUCGCCUUUAGAGCGGCCCGCGUCUGAUUAGCUAGUUGGUUGAGGUAAUGGCUCACCAAGGCGACGAUCAGUAGCUGGUCUGAGAGGAUGAUCAGCCACAUUGGGACUGAGACACGGCCCAAACUCCUACGGGAGGCAGCAGUGGGGAAUCUUGCGCAAUGGGCGAAAGCCUGACGCAGCCAUGCCGCGUGAAUGAUGAAGGUCUUAGGAUUGUAAAAUUCUUUCACCGGGGACGAUAAUGACGGUACCCGGAGAAGAAGCCCCGGCUAACUUCGUG
rnacentral:rRNA from 1 species